UACGUAGGGGGCAAGCGUUAUCCGGAUUUAUUGGGCGUAAAGAGCUCGUAGGCGGCCGUUCGCGUCGGAUGUGAAAGCUCAGGGCUCAACCCUGAGACGCCAUUCGAUACGGGACGGCUAGAGGUAGGUAGGGGAAAGUGGAAUUCCUGGUGUAGCGGUGAAAUGCGCAGAUAUCAGGAGGAACACCGGUGGCGAAGGCGGCUUUCUGGGCCUUACCUGACGCUGAGGAGCGAAAGCUGGGGGAGCGAACAGG
rnacentral:rRNA from 2 species